UUAGACAAAAAUUUAUCCUAAUUUAGGCAAUGUUUUCAAAAUUGUUGAUGGAGGGAAAAAAGUGUGAACAAAUUCUCAAAGGGCCAGAAAAGUGGGUCGAAAAUGCAAGGCCCAUUGCAUUUAGGCCCAAAACGAACGGAAAAAAAAAAAAAGCUGGCAGGAGUAUUGGUGAUACGUCGCUUUCCUCGUCUGUGUUGUUUCCCACUUUUGGUUAACAAGAUUCAAACAUUCAUUUCCUCAUUCACGCUGCUGCAACGUUCUCUGCCCUCAAUUCAAAUUUCAAAUUCAAAUCACACACUCUCUCUCUCCCUCUUCUUUCACGUUCUUUAACAUUCUUUAACAUUGCUUUCACCUUCAUUCAACAUUCAUUUCUUCGUCCGUUUCUCUGCUUCAUCUCCCAGAAUCUAGAUUCACUUCCAUCGCAAUCUUCAGGUUCUUGACACACCAAUCCAACGAAAGAAACUUUUUUUUGCUAUUUUUGAGGGCUAUAAGUGGGCUAUGAUUUGAAUGGGGAGAGGAUGCUAGAGUUGAGAAGUGGAGCUAGAAGGUCCAAGAGGCUUGGGCAGAGCCUUCUCAGGACAGAACUAGCAGGAGAGUUGGAGGUGGAAGAGGAACUGGUGCUAAUGCAAGCAAGCAAGCUCCUUCUAUCAUUUUCUUUCUCUGCUACCUUUCUUUUGAAAUUCAUAAAUUCCCUUACCUCCAAUCUGUCAUUCUCUCUUCUUCAAUUUCCUCCAUUUCCUCUACACACAAAAUUUGGGAUAGCUUCAUGAAUAUAAUCCUUAGUCAGUACUAUUUUCCCUUUGAAUAUGCAUUGUGGACUUUGAACGACUAUUAAUUGUGUCUUUUUAUGACUAUUUUUUGUGAUGCCUUUAUAAGUGGAUCAAUUAUAGUUUGAUAUUUUUAAUUACUUUUAUUUUGAUUCCUUGAAUUAUUCCUAGCGACGACAAAGAUCGAUGCAUGAAGCAGACCACACGACUGCAGCGAAGAUAUUGCCGCUUAUGAAUAUGAGGAAAAAGGAGUUUUUUUAACUUAAAAUGUAUAAUACCUAAUUGUGUUAAACGUGUGGAACCAUGUAAAAACUUCAACUUGGAAUAGGAUAUUGAUAUUUUGUCACCUACAAGAGGAGUGGUAUAUAAAGAGCAAAUCAUAAACAUCAAGAUCUAGCCAUUCAUGCAUGCACAAAUGAGUUGAUAGUAUGCAUUUUACGGAGGUAAGCUUUCCCUUUGAUUAGUUAAUAAUGCUGGUAGUAAAACUGAACUUCAACUUAUAUUGGUGCUACUUUUUGUUUUGCAAAUAUAAGUGGAUCACUUAUAGUGUGAUACUUUUUGUUUUGAGAAUUUGUUUUAAGUGACUCAAAGCAAUGGAUGAUUUAUGCUUUGUGUUCAUUACGUUCAAGAGAUUGGCUUAUCCUCUAUCUGUUCCAAUUCAUAAGCACCUGUAAAGGCCAUUAGUAAAUGAUUUUCAAGACUUAACUUCAUAUUAUUUGAUACUUUUACUUUUGAAGCAUUGUUUUAAGCAUGUGCAUUAUUCUUCAAGUAUUUAUAUCUUAAAGACCUGUGAGAAAUAUAUGUAGAUGAAGUAAGUGCAUUAUGGGAGGAUUUAAAUCGAAUUCUACACACUCUACAUUUUUCAAGUUCUAUAAACAAGUAAGUGUCUUCACUCUUUGACUAUGAUUUAAUUUUUUGUUACUUUGUUCGAACUUUUUAGUAAGAAUGUUUAUGUGUUUGCUCUUUUGGACAAACCACAUUGACCUUCUAACUAAUUUGGGUGUGUUUCAUUUUUUAUUGACUCUGAAUUUGUUUGCUGGAUUCUUCUCCCAAUCAUUUUUUUAACACAUUCAUUUUUUGAUUAAGUAUGUUUUGUUUCAAGUUAGCAUAUUUAAGUUAGAGACUACAUGUGGUACAUGUAAGAGAAAUUGGAACUCGAAAAAUUUCAUUGGUAUAGUGUAAACAUUCACGUUGAAAAGGAACAAAGAGUAGUAGGCAAUAGGCAGUACCUGUGGUCUCAUGGUUUGGAUUCUAUUAUACUUUAAUGCAUAAGAACAACUAACUUUUACCGCAAAUUGAAUCCGAUAUAGAUGUCUGACUCAUGGAUGCUGAAGGGAAGGAAUUCCAAAUCAUACCAAUCUAUGGAAACAAUUUUGUAGAAGGAAUUAUAGGUCUUAAAAGUGAAAGUUGUUAAAGGUGUGUAGACUUAUUUUUAAUUCAAUUUUGUUACUUCUGUGAUUUGUGUGUCAUUAUAGCGUGUUAUUCAUAUCUUAUUAGAAAGACUCAAGUGUAUGUACAACAAAAAAAAAAGAAUGGCUCAAGUAUUCAAACUACAUGGUUUGAUUAUCUUUUGUCGAAGCAUUCCUUAGAUUUUAACUACAUUUGUCUCAUUAUAGUGUCUUCUGCAUAGUUUUUAUUAAGAUAUAUAUCUUAUUAUAUAUUUAUAACUUAUUAGAAUUAGAACGACCCACUUCUUCAAACUACAUGGUUUGGUUAUCUUUUGUCGUAGCAUUCUCUAUAGUUGGUAAUUAUUAAGUCCAUAGUGCUUCAGUUUUUUAAGCUUAGACACUCUUACUUGACAAAAGUGUUAAUGAUGAAUUCUUUCACUUUAACUUUAUAGUUUCUUUCCAAUAAUAUAAGUAUUUUCUUAUUGUGUAUUAUUUACUAAUGCUAUUUUUAUUUUUAUUUUUUACAGAUUUGGUUUUACAUCUAAAGGAGAUUGUGAGCCGACAUAUCGAUAGGGUUGCAAAAUGGGUUUUUAACUUCCAAAGGAUUUAUCCAUGAUAAUACAAUGUUUAAAAAGGGUUUUAUAUAGUUUAAGUUUACCGUAAUGGUAUUAACUUUCUUUAGUUCAUGAGUUUUUCUCUUAAUGGAAUUUGAAAAAAUUUCUUGAAUGAAAAUAAAAAUGACAUUAAAAUA